rnacentral:rRNA from 1 species
AUUGAACGCUGGCGGCAGGCCUAACACAUGCCAGUCGAACGAGUGCCGGACGGGUGAUUACUGUUUGGGAAACUGUCCGUUGGAUGUGCCUAACUACUGGAAACGGUAGUUAAUCCCGCAUUCCAUCGGAUGUGCGUAGGUGUGAGUAGCUUGUAGGUGAGGUAACUGCUUACCUAGGCGACGAUCCCUAGCCGGUCUGAGAGGAUGACCAGCCACACGGGAACUGAGACACUGUCCAGACUCCUACGGGAGGCAGCAGUGGGGAAUAUUGCACAAUGGGCGCAAGCCUGAUGCAGCCAUGCCGCGUGUAUGAAGAAGGUCUUCGGAUUGUAAAGUACUUUCAGCGGGGAGGCGUUACCCGCAGAAGAAGCACCGGCUAACUCCGUGCCAGCAGCCGCGGUAAUAC